CCUACGGGAGGCAGCAGUGAGGAAUAUUGGUCAAUGGACGCGAGUCUUAACCAGCCAAGUAGCGUGAAGGAUGACUGCCCUACGGGUUGUAAACUUCUUUUAUAAAGGAGUAAAGUGUGACACGUGUGCAGUUUUGUAUGUACUUUAUGAAUAAGGAUCGGCUAACUCCGUACCAGCAGCCGCGGUAUUACGCAGGAUCCGAGCUUUAUCCGGAUUGAUUGGGUUUAAUGGGAGCUUAGAUGGGUUGUUAAGUCAGUUGUGAAAGUUUGCGGCUUAACCGUAAAAUUGAAUUUGAUACUGGCAGUCUUGAGUACAGUAGAGGUAGGCGGAAUUCGUGGUGUAGCGGUGGAAUGCUUAGAUAUCACGAAGAACACCGAUUGCGAAGGCAGCUUUCUGGACUGCAACUGACAUUGAGGCUCGAAAGUGUGGGUAUCAAACAGGAUUAGAUACCCUAGUAGUC
rnacentral:rRNA from 1 species